GCAAACUUGGUCAUUUAGAGGAAGUAAAAGUCGUAACAAGGUCUCCGUAGGUGAACCUGCGGAGGGAUCAUUACCGAGUGAGGGCCCCCGGCCCGACCUCCAACCCUGUGACUACCAACACUUGUUGCCUCGGGGGCGACCCGGCCGUUUCACGCUCGGGGCCCCCGGUGGACCCAUUUAACCCUGCAUCUCUGCGUCGGUUUGAAACACAUAAUUGAUUAAAAAACUUUCAACAACGGAUCUCUUGGUUCUGGCAUCGAUGAAGAACGCAGC
rnacentral:misc_RNA from 1 species